CUAAAAUAAUUGUAAAAAUUCGUUAGGCACGGAUGACAUGCCACCAGUAGACAACGGCGGCAGAGUCCACCACCACCUUGGCCCCCAUUGAGGCGACAACCAUAUAUAAGGAGACCAGAAUCAUCACCAGGAGUCGAGGAGCCGGAGAGUCGAAAAAUAAGAACUUGAACUCAGAAGUCGAGACAGCUACACCACCACCGACGCACGAGACUGAGGAACACUGUCACCUUGACACCAACCCGUCCAGUCAUUUCUUUAGUGUACUUAUAUCUUAUAACUAAGUCUUGACUCGGGUCUGGUGUCACAGGUUUUUCACUAAUAGAUACAACUUGUCAACUGUGUUUUGUUAAAAUUCUAAUAAAAAACCAUUUGUAGACCUAACACAAAUGUCCAUCUUCCCAUCAAAAGGCCUGUAUCAAUAAAAAUACAAUUUCUCCCUUUAAAUAGUGGACACCUCUGAAUAGUAGACAAAAUUUCAGUGGCCAAGAGUGUCCAGUAUUUAGAGGUUUCACUGUAUAUUAUGUAGAAGGUACUUCCAAAUAAAGAUAAUUAUACAAAGAGAAACUUACCAAUAACAUCUUCAUAAUUUUCAAGGAGAUAAAAAUUAAAUAUUUUCUUAUUUCUAUUUUAUAUUUAGCUGUGUAACCUACUCUAUCUUAUAAGUUAUAAUAUAAAGUUUAAGCAUAAUUUUGUAUUAUUUUUAC